GCCAGGUGCGGUGGCGCAUGCCUGUAGUCCCAGCUACUCGGGAGGCUGAGCUGGGAGGAUCACUUGAGUCCAGGAGUUCUGGGCUGUAGUGGGCUAUGCCGAUCAGGUGUCUGCACUAAGUUCGGCAUCAAUAUGGUGACCUCCCGGGAGAAGGGGACCACCAGAUUGCCUAAAGAGGGGUGAACCGGCCCAGGUCAGAAACCGAACAGGUCAAAACUCCCAUGUUGAUCAGUAGUAGGAUCGUGCCUGUGAAUAGCCACUGCACUCCAGUCUGGGCAACAUAGGGAGACCACGUCUCUA
rnacentral:SRP_RNA from 1 species